UACGAAGGGAGCUAGCGUUGUUCGGAAUCACUGGGCGUAAAGCGCACGUAGGCGGAUCGAUCAGUCAGGGGUGAAAUCCCAGGGCUCAACCCUGGAACUGCCUUUGAUACUGUCGAUCUGGAGUAUGGAAGAGGUGAGUGGAAUUCCGAGUGUAGAGGUGAAAUUCGUAGAUAUUCGGAGGAACACCAGUGGCGAAGGCGGCUCACUGGUCCAUUACUGACGCUGAGGUGCGAAAGCGUGGGGAGCAAACAGG
rnacentral:rRNA from 1 species